ensembl:miRNA
GAUACCGGGGUGCAGGGCUUAGCUCACCUGUGAACAGAGUUCGCAUCCGUAUCGUGUUCACAGUGGCUAAGUUCCGCCCCCCGGGGUCCGUU